CAUAUACUCCCUUCGUCCAGAAAUACUUGUCAGAGAGAUGGAUGUAUCUAGACGAAUUUUAGUUAUAGAGACAUCCAUUUUUAUUGAUUUCUUCGACGAGUAAUUUAGGACGGAGGGAGUACAUG
rfam:Triticum aestivum genome assembly, contig: Triticum_aestivum_CS42_TGACv1_scaffold_288297_4AL